rnacentral:rRNA from 1 species
UAAUAAUCCUGUAGUCGAAAAUGUUGUCUCUCUUGAGUGGAUCCUGAGUACGACGGAGCACGUGAAAUUCCGUCGGAAUCUGGGAGGACCAUCUCCUAAGGCUAAAUACUCUCUAGUGACCGAUAGUGAACCAGUACCGUGAGGGAAAGGUGAAAAGCACCCCGGAAGGGGAGUGAAAUAGAACCUGAAACCGUGUGCUUACAAGUAGUCAGAGCCCGUUAAUGGGUGAUGGCGUGCCUUUUGUAGAAUGAACCGGCGAGUUACGAUUUGAUGCAAGGUUAAGCAGUAAAUGUGGAGCCGUAGCGAAAGCGAGUCUGAAUAGGGCGUUUAGUAUUUGGUCGUAGACCCGAAACCAGGUGAUCUACCCUUGGUCAGGUUGAAGUUCAGGUAACACUGAAUGGAGGACCGAACCGACUUACGUUGAAAAGUGAGCGGAUGAACUGAGGGUAGCGGAGAAAUUCCAAUCGAACCUGGAGAUAGCUGGUUCUCUCCGAAAUAGCUUUAGGGCUAGCCUCAAGUGAUGAUUAUUGGAGGUAGAGCACUGUUUGGACGAGGGGCCCCUCUCGGGUUACCGAAUUCAGACAAACUCCGAAUGCCAAUUAAUUUAACUUGGGAGUCAGAACAUGGGUGAUAAGGUCCGUGUUCGAAAGGGAAACAGCCCAGACCACCAGCUAAGGUCCCAAAAUAUAUGUUAAGUGGAAAAGGAUGUGGCGUUGCCCAGACAACUAGGAUGUUGGCUUAGAAGCAGCCAUCAUUUAAAGAGUGCGUAAUAGCUCACUAGUCGAGUGACACUGCGCCGAAAAUGUACCGGGGCUAAACAUAUUACCGAAGCUGUGGAUUGUCCUUUGGACAAUGGUAGGAGAGCGUUCUAAGGGCGUUGAAGCAUGAUCGUAAGGACAUGUGGAGCGCUUAGAAGUGAGAAUGCCGGUGUGAGUAGCGAAAGACGGGUGAGAAUCCCGUCCACCGAUUGACUAAGGUUUCCAGAGGAAGGCUCGUCCGCUCUGGGUUAGUCGGGUCCUAAGCUGAGGCCGACAGGCGUAGGCGAUGGAUAACAGGUUGAUAUUCCUGUACCACCUAUAAUCGUUUUAAUCGAUGGGGGGACGCAGUAGGAUAGGCGAAGCGUGCGAUUGGAUUGCACGUCUAAGCAGUAAGGCUGAGUAUUAGGCAAAUCCGGUACUCGUUAAGGCUGAGC